rnacentral:rRNA from 1 species
UACGUAGGGUGCAAGCGUUGUCCGGAAUUAUUGGGCGUAAAGAGCUCGUAGGCGGUCUGUCGCGUCGGCUGUGAAAACCCGGGGCUCAACCCCGGGCCUGCAGUCGAUACGGGCAGACUAGAGUGCGGUAGGGGAGACUGGAAUUCCUGGUGUAGCGGUGAAAUGCGCAGAUAUCAGGAGGAACACCAAUGGCGAAGGCAGCUCGCUGGGACGGUACUGACGCUGAGGCGCGAAAGCUAGGGGAGCAAACGGG